GGGGGUAGCAAUACCUGCCGGCGACCGGCAAACGGGUGCGGAACACGUACACAACUUUCCUUUAAGUGGGGGAUAGCCCAGAGAAAUUUGGAUUAAUACCCCGUAACAUUAUGAGAUGGCAUCAUUUUAUAAUUAAAGCUCCGGCGCUUAAAGAUGGGUGUGCGGCUGAUUAGGUAGUUGGCGGGGUAACGGCCCACCAAGCCUGCGAUCAGUAACUGGUGUGAGAGCACGACCAGUCACACGGGCACUGAGACACGGGCCCGACUCCUACGGGAGGCAGCAGUAAGGAAUAUUGGUCAAUGGACGCAAGUCUGAACCAGCCAUGCCGCGUGAAGGAUGAAGGUCCUCUGGAUUGUAAACUUCUUUUAUUUGGGAAGAAACCCAUUUUUUCUAGAGUGGUUGACGGUACCAGAUGAAUAAGCACCGGCUAACUCCGUGCCAGCAGCCGCGGUAAUACGGAGGGUGCAAGCGUUAUCCGGAUUCACUGGGUUUAAAGGGUGCGUAGGUGGGCAGGUAAGUCAGUGGUGAAAUCUCCGGGCUUAACCCGGAAACUGCCAUUGAUACUAUCUGUCUUGAAUACCGUGGAGGUGAGCGGAAUAUGUCAUGUAGCGGUGAAAUGCUUAGAUAUGACAUAGAACACCAAUUGCGAAGGCAGCUCACUACGCGAAUAUUGACACUGAGGCACGAAAGCGUGGGGAUCAAACAGGAUUAGAUACCCUGGUAGUCCACGCCCUAAACGAUGGAUACUCGACAUACGCGAUACACAGUGUGUGUCUGAGCGAAAGCAUUAAGUAUCCCACCU
rnacentral:rRNA from 1 species